rnacentral:rRNA from 1 species
GAUGAACGCUGGCGGCGUGCUUAACACAUGCAAGUCGAACGGAAAGGCUCCUGCUUGCAGGGGUACUCGAGUGGCGAACGGGUGAGUAACACGUGGGUGAUCUGCCCUGCACUUCGGGAUAAGCCUGGGAAACUGGGUCUAAUACCGGAUAGGACCACAUUUUGGAUGGUGUGGUGGAAAGUUUUUCGGUGUGGGAUGAGCUCGCGGCCUAUCAGCUUGUUGGUGGGGUAAUGGCCUACCAAGGCGUCGACGGGUAGCCGGCCUGAGAGGGUGUACGGCCACAUUGGUACUGAGAUACGGGCCAGACUCCUACGGGGGGCAGCAGCGGGGAAUAGUGCACAAUGGGCGCAAGCCUGAUGCAGCGACGCCGCGUGGGGGAUGACGGCCUUCGGGUUGGAAACUCCUUUCGCUAGGGACGAAGCGCAAGUGACGGUACCUGGAGAAGAAGCACCGGCUAACUACGUG